AGAGCGGAAGAGAGAGAGAGUCAGAAAAGCUUGAUGUCAAAUUAAAAUGUUUUAUUGGAAUCAGGGCAAAAUGGAUUUAAACUAGUCUGAUUUAUUCACUCCCUAAAUUCUCAAUUUGCUGAAUGAGAAGAUCCAAUUCUGAUGAUUUCAUUAAAUGAUUGCUGAAAUGGUAAUUACUGGUCUUUUGUUACCAGACAGUUAAAACUCUUUUGUAAUCAGGCUUCUUCAAGAAUUGGUUCGAUGACUAUGAUACAUUUUCCCUUCUGAUUUAACCGAGAUAGGAACCAACUGAUUCCCUCUACAGCCACAUUCAUCCAUUGAUGCUCAUCAGUGUAAUCAUCAAUCUACAAAAAAUAAGCUUUUACAAGAAAUAUUGCAGCUAUCGCACAAAUAAUAAGGAAAAUAGACAUCGCUCCGAAAACAAUAACUGUGGGAUCGUUUCUACCGAUGGGAACUUAAUCAUAUUUAUUAAGUAAUUUGAAUUAUAAACUAAAGAUUUACUGCGGUUCCUUACAGAUGAUUCGUGUGCUGUUACUUGAUCUGGUACACGGAAGGUACGUCACAGAAAAAGGAUGAAUACAUCUUGGAUCGACUGGGGUAACCUGGUGUAUGAGGAAACUUGAGUCAAAGUAAGUUUCUUAAUUAUCUCAUUUUCAAUCACUUUGAAACAGUAGAAUCCCUCUGUUAAAUUACUUAAGAUGAUUCUAUCUCUCGAAAUCCUCUGCGAACGACAAAGAAUUAGCUGAUAUAAGUAAAAUGUUGGCCGAUUGUGAAGGGUGAUUCACAUUCAGUCAACCUACUACUUUAAUAGAAUAGUUAGGUGGCAGCAUAGCUAGCAGGUCGCAAUUUGUAACAUCUUCCUCGAUAUUAUACACUUCAAUGUCAAAGGUAUUAAAGUUAAAGCCAUCGCUUUGAUUUAUCCCCAAUCGGAUGAAAAGAUCGCUGUAGUGUUAGAAUAGGGGGUAGAAUAAUUUCUGUCCAUCCUAGAAGAUGGACUCUUCUCUAAUUUGUAAAAUUAAAUAUUACUUAGAGCCAUGUUGUUGGAUGUUUAAUGUGGGAUUCCAUUGGAUGACAUCUAGUUCCGUCAAUUUUGUUUCUAAGUAAAAAGGAACUUCUGAAUUACAUAUAGGCAGGCUACUUGUCCAUUCCCCAUGGUAAACAGCCAAACAAUAGGUUCCAUUGUAGAUAUGUUCAAAAACUGUCCGAGUUUUUUUCUGGAUAAGUAAUAGCUGAAUUUGAUCAAAUAAAAUUAACAAUGUUUUUCUUUCUUUAGCUGGCUUGCCUGUGGCAAUGUUGUUAAACUCUCACAGAUAGAAAAACUUUGUCUAGUAAAGCUGGUCCAUUGACAUUCCGUUUUAAACCCUACUGUUUGGUAAAGGAGGAAAGUAUAUAACGAGGAUGCUUGUUCGCAUGCCCUCUCUAUUUUUAAUGUGUGGCCGUUAUAUUCAGCGAUUGCGUUACAAUUCGGUAAUUCCCAGAAUACCUGUGUGCCUCCUGCCAACUAAACAACAAAUAAGAAGGAACAGAAUAUCAGUAAACGCAUUUUUUUUACAAAUUAUUGUGUUGCGACGACCUUGAUUACGCAGACAAACGCAAGAAUAGAAAGAAUGACCAUUUCAUGGUUUCACCUCAAUAUACGAAACUGAUUUUUAUUUUCCACCAUUUAAAUCUGUACUCACAGGUAACACGAAUACUAUACACACUAACAGGCUUUAGCAAUUUACUUCACUCUUCACAGAUAACGCAAUCACUUCACCAAAAGCGAGAUAAGAUAUGAAAUGAGGCGUUUAACCUUGCAUACAAUGCAUACGUAUAUCUGCCGUGAACAGGAAAAUUUUUACUUCAUUUCGAAAUGGAUUGUUAUUUUAGUGGAAAGGCUAAACUGUCCUUCAGUGAUCACAUAUUUCAAUCCUUGAUUUUGUUCGCUAUGAAAAUAUUGAUGUCACAAUAGCAGUAGGGAGCAGUAGCAAUGGGAUUUUGUUUUAAGCAUAUCCAGAGUUUAUUUUCAAUAAGGCAUAACUAAUACAAUAAUCAUAAGUUCGAAACAUAAUGUAAUGCACUGAUGCGAUUAACAUUUUAUCCAACAUUGUUUCUCUGUUCUUGAUAAUAUCUUUUUAAGUGGAAUUUUUCAAAUAGAAUCGCGGAUCCAACGGAAUACAACAUACGAGCGACACAUAAGAAAUCAUAUAAUUGCAGGUAUAAUGGGAAAAUGGAUUUUAAAAAAGUAAUGGUUUCUCGGUAAUGGAAUUUUUUUGGGUUGCCCCUCCUACUUUUGGCCAGUUAUCCCAAUUGAGUUUUCUGCAGUUAAUUAUUGCGUUGCAUAUUUGUAAACUAAGAGGAUCUAUCUAUGCUCUUAAGUUUAAAUUGGUGCUCUCCUACUUUCUCAUAUCUAUAAGCAGAGGGACUGUUUGGAAAUAUUUUUGAGUAAGGUCUUCUUUCUAUGUAAACAGUUUUGUCUCUUUCACUAAAUCUUACCCUUUUCUUCCCGUAAGAACCAUCACGUGAGCGACCAAGAUUUAAGAUCGAAUUUAAGGCUCGGUUGGCUGUAGCACUGGCUGUAGGUUGUCGUGUAUGUUGUUUCUCAGUUCCUUUCUCGGUACCUGUAAACGCGAAAAUUUGAUUGACCGCUAUUUUUUAUCGUAAAUGAGAUAGUCUUAAAUUACCUCUAGCUACUCGAUUAACCACUGGCUUGAAGGAAGGAGUAAUGUCGUUUGAUGCACUUGCAGAAUUUGUGAGUAGUUCGGCGUCUUCAGACGGAUGUUUUCCUUUAGACGAAUCAGCCUUCGACCCAGAAUCUAUGGUUUUCGUCGCUUUGCGAGGAAUAACAUAAUUUGAGGACCAUGCUGCGUUGGGGGUUUCUUUCUUUUCUUUAAUGGAUUGGUUUUUGCUUUUCAUCAAAUCAGCAGCCAACUUGUCAUUACGAGAUGUGGCGGUUGAUUUUGCCUAAAUAAUGACAUCACGAUUAAAAAAUACCGAACGAGAUGUUUUAUUUAAUUUUUUUUUAAUUUGUAUACCUUUACUGGACGCGGUUGUGGAAUCAAUGGUUUGUAAGUUGGAAUUGGUUCAUGCAAUUUUUUCCCCAUUGUAGUAACAGGCUGAAAGUUAACACCGGAUGUGGUGGAAGAUCCAUUUUUUUGGUGCGCCAGUCUAACAGAAUUGUUAUAACUUGUUAGAUCCUGAUCUUCUUCAAUUUUAUGUCUCAGCGUUGACGGCUUUUUCUUUUUGAAGUUGGUAGAUUCGUUUUGGCGAAAUUUUUUCCCUCGUCUGCUAACAAAAGGCCGAGGUCUUGUUGGUUUAGUUGAUUUUUCUUUUGAUUUGAACCUACCAGAAGCAAGAAGAUUUUUUAAUUUUUCUUCCUUUGUUUCAAUUGAUUCGGAUAAUUCUUUUUCUUCUUCUUGGCUUGCGACAGCAGGUGGUGUGAUGUUGGAGUGUAGCGAUAUCGAUGGCAUAUCACAAUCUGUAGAGCUGGCACUUGAUUCAGUAUCUGAUGGGGAAUCAGGUUCAAAUGGCACCAAAACUGGUGGUAUCGGUUCUGAAUCUUCCUCGUCGGAACUAAGAGUUAUUUCUUCAAUUUUUGUUUGUAGAUAUUGCGUCAAGCAUGUUAUAUUUUCUUCGUCUUUCGAUGAAGUUGUUCGCCGUAUGACACGUAAUCCUUCUGGAGUGUUUAGCGACUUCUCCGUUACAAAUUCUGAAGACAUUUUCGAUGGCUCUAAACGUAAAUCGUUUAGAGCGAUCCUCUUUUUGUCUUUGUGGGUUAUUGCUUCAUCUUCAGAAUCAGACAACCGAAGGAGUCGUUUAGUACCUUUAAUUGGCACUUUUUCCUUGGUUUUUUUCAAGUUUACCAUUUUUGACUCCAUUUCUUCUUCAGAAUCCGAAAAGAUGGUAAAAACGCGCGGUUUUUUCGUUGAACGAUAUGUAUAUGAUUUUUCGAAAUCGAUGGGAAGGCGAAGGCGCUCUAUCAUAACUUUACAUACCGCAUUCAGUUUAGGAUCUGCGUAUUUUUUUGAAGCUGCGUUUGUUCCAGAAAUGUUUGUGAGUUCAGCAGUCGAGUUGCUCAUCGAAGAAAAGCAAGAAUUUAUGAAACAGUCUCCGUCCAUUCCUGAAAUUACAGAUAAAUGUUGAAUGUUAAAAAAAACAGUAUAUUAUUUAACCGAUAGACUUAAAUAAGUAUCACUAGAUGUCACUUUUCAUUAAGAGAUAUAAAAAAUUUUUAAAUUAUAGAAAUUUAUCUUAUCAGAAUUUGAUUUAGUUUCAACUCUAAUUAAAUAAUUGUAAGUUAAUUCAUGUUCAUAAACUCCAAUUUGAGGAUAACAUUCAUCAUUUUAAAUGAUAGUAAUUGUUAACAUAAAUAAAUCAUUUACUUAAUUCCACCGCUAGAUGCCGCUUCAACAGCUGUCAUUGUUUAAAGGAGCGCCAGAUGGCGUGGCGUGUACGGAAUGGAGUUUCAAAAUUAGUUUGGUAAACAGUUGUU